CAGGGCUAACACUUCAACACUCGCAAGUGGAGACCUGGAAGCAGUUCAGGGCCUCCAUCUCAGGCGAGGUGUAACAGAGUCAAGUGAGAGGUCAAGCAGAACUAACAAGGCACAUCUGGGAACUUGAGAAACUGCUGCGGGUAGCAUUACAAAAUGCCUAAACAGCAGAUCACCAUUUUGGCAUCUACCUGUCACUGCUAUGGAUCUUUGGCAAUUAACAAAUGGAAGGGGAAAUUGAGUCCUUGUGACCUAUGACAGCUAAAAGAUGGAUAUUAUAAAAUCAGAAGGAUUCAGCUUGCAGCACUCUCAGUUUAUGAAGCGGUGGCAUGUGAACUCCAAUCAGAUAACUAUGUGACUAUUUUGGCUGCUUUUCCGGAGCCUAGGUAGUGGCUAGAAAUGCCACUA